CAAAAAAUGAGACUUGAGAGCUCAAUACGGGCACCCACUCCUCACCCAAACGGGAGGCACCAACGUUUCAUAAGAUGAUAAAAAGAACCACCAACACACAACAAAACCUAGUCACCACCCACCAACCAAACAACAAGCUAGGUAUAGAGUUUACACACGACCUAUGGGCCAUUCAUGACACAAAGGUAUAUAGAGUUGACAGACGCAUAAGUCGAUAGAAAAGACAACAAGUUCAAUUCGUGGGGUGUUCGUGAGCCCCAACUUCCGAAGCAAGAAUUGCCAUGUGACUCCGUGUGCUCGACCAAAGCCCAACACAACACAACCACUUCAGAGGUACACACACAUCAUUGUGCCUGGAAUCUCACGAGGUUAUGCUCUUUUUCCGUUGAUUACUACCACAUACUAACCAAGGACGCGAUCUGCUGCUCCAGCUGCAUCAAAAGAAAAAUAAAGUAAUGAUUACGACAUGGUUUCACAAAUCAGACAUUUUGCAAUGUAGUAGGUAUCUUAUUCUGGUACUUGGAAGAUAUUAACUUUUUAAACUUAAUCUGGGAACAUAAGGAACCGAGUUAGACGGCCAAAACAUUAUGAUAAGAUGAAGAAAACAAUAUUUGACAGCCAAACGGGACCUUCAAAGACCACAACCUAUGUGCUCCAAAAACCAAACAAUAUAUUGCCAGAUAAAUUUCAGCAGCAACAAGAAUAAUAAUAUCAAGGUUCUUCUUUUUAUGUUGAAUAAUAUACAUCCAAUCCAAAUAUUAUCAUAAUAGCAAGAAACUGGAAGUCCAAAGCCUACAUAGGUACACAUUACAUAAAGUGCUACCUGCAUCAAAGUCUGAAGCUUGUUGCGCACGUCACAGAAAUCACCCUUAAGAAGAGUCAAUGUCAUGAGGCAUCUGAACAAUGCAAAAAUAUCACACUGUCAAUUCUGAAGAGGUUGAUCAAAAUAAAUUUAAAUGGUAGAGCAAUUGAAACCCUCUGUUUGGCCCAGCAAAAAGAAAACCUCUGUUUGAAAAAAAAACUAGCUAUCUCAAAACUCAGUUGCGCUAUAAACAGGAGGUUAGAGCCAACAAGUUACAAGAGAAUAAUCAAAGAGACAUGUAUUCAAAUAUAGAACUGAGUUCUAUCAAUCAGCUGAUUCGAGACAAAGUGAAAAAGUAGGUUAGUUCUUAAGAAUGUCAUAUUAGUACGAGCUAAAACUAGUGUCAUAGAAGACGAAAUAAGCUGGCAGGCUUGCAUACAUGAUUUGACCAACACAUACAGUACAAAAUCAUUAUUGUGCAAUAUAUAUAAUGAGAUACUGAGUACUAACCCUUUUUUGUUUUUUGCCACGUAGAACUUUUGGAAGUCCAUGCAAGNNNNNNNNNNGCGUGGACUGCGUGGUCGCCGCUGGGUCGUUCGUUUUCUUUUUUUUAGGUGGGUGGGACCAGAGGGGACGUGGGGUCGUGGGCAGAGGGCGCUCGAGCCAGCUGCGGUCGAGGGCUCGAGGCCACCGCUGGCUGCCUGGCUGUGGUCGAGGACUGGAGGCUCGAGCGGCCGAGUGAUAAAUACAUACGUAUAAAUUUUUUUGGCCAAUAAUCAAGGUAUGGCAGGUGCCAUACCUCGCCCACCGGAGCGCUCCGCCACUGUGUGUAGAGUUCAUCAUCAUGUGUGUGUUUGUGAGAGAAGAGAAGAGAGAAACCUCAGGAGAGUUGUGAGAUGCAACGAGAGGGAGGAAGACGACGCGGCGCUGCGAGGAGGCAGCGCCAACAUAAUCUGCUACUCGAGGUCCUGGUUACCUUAUGGGCAAUUUGGUGGGUGCGGCGUAAGGCAAUUCAUGAAGAGGAGUUCCAGAGCCCUCUCUCGAUGCACCUCUUUAUCUGCAGGUAUCUAGACAAGGUCCGGAGUACCAAUGCAUUGGCAUGCAGACGUGAAUCUUCGACUACUAGACCAUCUCAUGUGUGGAAGCUUCCACCAGUGGGAUUUGUAAAUCUAAACGUAGAUGUUCUUGUAGCAAAGACACAAAAACAAGGUGUGGUUGGGGUGAUGUGCAUAGGCUCUCAGGUUAUCUUUCACGAAGUGUUAGUGGUGGUGUUUGAGGGAGUUCCUGAUUCAGAAACCCUCAAAGCCUAUGUGUGCAGAGAAGCUCGGGCUUUAGCUGAAGAUUUGGCGAUGCACAGGAUCUACAUCGCCACUAACUAUUUGAGAGUCUUAGAUGAUCUUAGAGCUGCACACCAUCUUGGUGCUUAUUGUAUGAUUGCGAGAGAGAUCAAUUCUCAUAAGUCUAGUUCCCUGGCAUGUGAAAUAUGCCACGAGCAGCACGAGCAUUACUUUGAAGCUCAUAAUAUUGCUAAGAUGGAUACUAACUUUGGUUCGGGCUGUCAUCUGUGGUUUUCUGACCCCUCCAAGUAACAUUUUUAUCCCCAAACCCAUCGUUGGUUGAAUAAAGUGUGCUAUCUCGACUAAUGAAACCCUGCCUUACGUCAUCUCAUGCACUCAUUGUCUGCUCGAGUGUAGUGAAACUAAUGUGUCAUCUGUUGUGUCAUCUGAAGUCCAAAGCUACAGAUGACACAACAGCAACUUGUAUGAUUCUUUGGACUUCAGAUGGAAGUAUUCUUCGCCACCUACAACUACUUGUUCCACUGUAUGGAGUCCAUAGAGAAGAAAUACCCGCUAUCAUGCAAGGACUGGUGCUCGGUUGCAGUGGUGAGACCUUUCCGUGACCUUUAGGAAUCCUUAUAGAACUCUUCGUAUCAGUCAUAAUAUUCUUAGAACCUUUAUCUAUCUCAUUGAGCUUGUUCUCCUGGAAAUACCUGAACAUGGUCUUUCUCUUAUUACAUUUCAUGUGCUAAUAUGUAUAACAAAAUGAGACAACGCGCUCAAACAUGGGCAAGAAAAAAAAAUGGAAUUUCCAUUUCCCAAAAUUUAAAAACAAGCCAUAACGCAAGGAGUGUGAGAAAGCAGAAAAUAAGACCAUAGUUCAGCUUGCUGCCAUUUACUUUGGUAAUCCAGAAGAUGAGCUGGAAAGGAGCUUGACUUGGUACGAUCAAGGCCCCGAAGGUCAAGAAAAGCAGGACCUCGAUCAAUAUCCCAAUAAAACUCCAUUUAUAGAAUCUCCUCUAAGUGAAUUAUAGGAGGUGCCCGAGACGAUGGGGUGGGUGGAGAACUUCCACUUCCUGAACAUAAACCACUAUAAGAGGAGCAGAGGUAUGAAUUCCUGGAUGAAACUACGUGAUUUCCUGUUAUCGUAGGUUCUAACCUUCCUGGGAACAAAAAGAACAAACUAAUGAAAACAUUCAAAAUACACCGUAAAGCUUUUCGGCGCUCCAGGGAUGAUACCAAAGGCACAGGCCCAUCUAUAUGCACCCACAUACGUAUUAUGGCUUAAUUUUGUUCUAGUUUUUUUUACAUAUACUUCUGUUGUUAACUUGAUCAUUCUGGUUCCUGUUAAGAAUAAAAAUUUCUAUUAUUUUAACUGUUAGUUGUGGUUGAUAUUUUUCUGAGGGUUGAUAUAUGUUUCAUCUAUGUAUAUAAAGUCUAUCUAAGUGAGAUAUAAUCUCUCGAAUACCAUGAAUGGUACUCAUAGGACUAGUAAUAUAAUAAGUUAUUUCAUAGUCUGAAUCUCCCUCUACCAUUAAAAUGUUGUAUAAGAUGGGCGGGGAUUCCACAACUGACCAUUUUUGUAGUGACACAAUUCUUAAAUAAUCCAAUCAUGAAAUUAAUUGUUUCAAUCAUUUAUUAUUUAUUUUGGUAUUUUGUAUUUUUUUCAUACACAGAGCACUAUUGUGCCAUUUUUAAAAUUGUGCCCUGCAUCUUGACAUGCCCUUUUCUUCAUGUAAUCACACCAUAUUGUGGAACCUAAUAUUUUCUAUUUAACUUGGUGUUUACAAUUAUCGAAUGAUGUGUUCCAUUAAUUAACUAAUUUAUGUUUUUAUGUAGGAUGAUGGUUGGUGUGAAAGGAAGGAUUAAGAGAAGCCAGGAAAGAGUGUGAGUGUCAUUUGACUUUUUUAGGUGACUAUGCUGAUGGUAUAUUAAAAAAGCAAUGUUACACAAUCUUUGUAAUUCUUUUCUUCUUUCAAGCUUUCUUCUUGCUUUUUUAGCGUUACUUCUGACAUAUGCAGUGGUGGUGGCAUCCAUAUUUAUACAUGUGCCACUCCAACGGAUUGAUUUCGGGUAGUAACCAUCAAAGCCUUGCAAUAUAUCAUAUAUUAAUUCCAUGAUUUUCUUCAAAGGAUGUAUGUCUCGAAUGGUUGUGUGCAUCACAAUGAUACAAAGGACGGAGGUACUAACCUCUUUUUUAGAAAAAUGUAUGUCUCGAUUGCAGAUUUUUCUUAGCUAGUUGUGCGAGUAUACCAUGUUGCAUCCAUCUCUUAUCAUAUUAAAAAUAUAUGCAUAUUUUGUGGUGUAUUGUGUGCGCAUAAAUAUUGAUCAAAUUACGAGCACUCAUGAGCCAUGUGAGAAGAAAAGAGUUAAGUGAAUGUGUGUACUAUUCACACAUCAGUUGAUAUAUUUUCUUGUGGCGUAUGCCAUAAGUAGCCACAUUUUGUGUUUUGCAGGUGCACGGAAUGCAGCUUAAGAGCAUUGCAAUAGAACUGGUAUAUUUGGUGAUCUAAAAUCAGUUCUAGCAAUAAGAGAGCGAAGAUGAGAUGUUUUUUUUAAUCUACUCCACUAGCUACCCUACAAUUUGUUAUCUAUAGACCUAGCAGCUAAAAGAGGGUAUCCUGAGCAAUUGCAAGUACCUAAAAGGCUGAAACUCAUUCUAUCUUUAUUUGUACCGUGCUCCUCCACUGCAAAUAAGUUCUAUUUCCAUACAGAACAUUUUAGAUCAUGCAUUAACUAAUGUUUGGAGUUCGAAUUAAAAUAAAAAAUGAACAUGCUGGUUCUAAAACGACACAAAUAUGACAUAAAGUUAACAAUAAUACUUCAAACUCGUGGCUAAACUACAACAUUGAAAGCACAACUUAUAUACCCUUAAUAUAGGUUUUUGUGAUUAAGGAGAAAGCAAUUGAGAUAAUGAACGUUUUAUGAGUUUAUCUUAGGAAAUUAGUCCAUAAACCUUAGUGGAAACAUCAAGGUUGACCAGUACAACUAUUUCUUCAAGUGGUUGUGUGCCUCAAGUUCUUAAAGUACAGUUUUAUAGGCUUUUAGUGAUUCCAAGAUUCACACAGAGUGUAGAAUAGUCAUACUAUCAAGAGGAGAAAAGCAAAGUAUAUGUGGUCGAACUCCAAGAUAAGAUCCUCAACCAAAAUUCUCAAGUAUUUCACUCUAGCAACUCAACUUUUUUUUGUUUCAGUGCCGAGUUACUCUGAGUUUUUCCACCCAGUACUACGACUUUUAGGAGUGAGUAGGCCAUGAUGAGCGAACCAUGUUUCCUAUAGCUUCCGAACUGUACACGACUCUUUUUUGGAGCCGCCGAACUAUGUUUAUUUUGACAUCAUCCCUAUUAGUUUUGGCACCUCUGACAAUAACAUUUUCUCUGACCUUUCCAAGCCCUUCUCAGUUUGCUUCAGCAGAGUAUCUUUAUUGGAUUGCUACUUCCAAGAAAAUGCAUCCAAUACCUCCAAGAUGGACUUUGGAUUUGCCUGCUAGAUGGUGUCCUGCAUCACCUUUCAGCGCCCCGCCCCAACAUAUCUUCUCUCUCCUCUGGGCGGCAGAUUAGACAGUUUGCUGCAGCAGUGAUGCUGUGAGGUUCUGGUGGUGGAGGAGGCCGACGAACAACACAUCUCGGUAUACCGGCCAAAAAAUGAGACUUGAGAGCUCAAUACGGGCACCCACUCCUCACCCAAACGGGAGGCACCAACGUUUCAUAAGAUGAUAAAAAGAACCACCAACACACAACAAAACCUAGUCACCACCCACCAACCAAACAACAAGCUAGGUAUAGAGUUUACACACGACCUAUGGGCCAUUCAUGACACAAAGGUAUAUAGAGUUGACAGACGCAUAAGUCGAUAGAAAAGACAACAAGUUCAAUUCGUGGGGUGUUCGUGAGCCCCAACUUCCGAAGCAAGAAUUGCCAUGUGACUCCGUGUGCUCGACCAAAGCCCAACACAACACAACCACUUCAGAGGUACACACACAUCAUUGUGCCUGGAAUCUCACGAGGUUAUGCUCUUUUUCCGUUGAUUACUACCACAUACUAACCAAGGACGCGAUCU
rnacentral:lncRNA from 1 species